UAAUACAGAGGGUGCAAGCGUUAAUCGGAAUUACUGGGCGUAAAGGGCGCGUAGGUGGUUGACUAAGUCAGAUGUGAAAUCCCUGGGCUUAACCUAGGAAUUGCAUUUGAUACUGGUCGGCUAGAGUAUGGUAGAGGGAAGUGGAAUUUCAGGUGUAGCGGUGAAAUGCGUAGAUAUCUGAAGGAACACCAGUGGCGAAGGCGGCUUCCUGGACCAUUACUGACACUGAGGCGCGAAAGCGUGGGGAGCGAACAGGAUUAGAUACCCUGGUAGUCCACGCCGUAAACGAUGAGAACUAGAUGUUAGGGGGCUUAGACCUCUUAGUAUCGCAGCAAACGCGUUAAGUUCUCCGCCUGGGGAGUACGGCCGCAAGGUUA
rnacentral:rRNA from 1 species